rnacentral:rRNA from 1 species
GAUGAACGCUAGCUACAGGCUUAACACAUGCAAGUCGAGGGGAAACGAUAUUGGAAGCUUGCUUCCGAUAGGCGUCGACCGGCGCACGGGUGAGUAACGCGUAUCCAACCUGCCCACCACUUGGGGAUAACCUUGCGAAAGUAAGACUAAUACCCAAUGAUAUCCCACGAAGGCAUCCGAAUGGGAUUAAAGAUUUAUCGGUGAUGGAUGGGGAUGCGUCUGAUUAGCUUGUUGGCGGGGUAACGGCCCACCAAGGCUACGAUCAGUAGGGGUUCUGAGAGGAAGGUCCCCCCACAUUGGAACUGAGACACGGUCCAAACUCCUACGGGAGGCAGCAGUGAGGAAUAUUGGUCAAUGGGCGAGAGCCUGAACCAGCCAAGUAGCGUGCAGGACGACGGCCCUAUGGGUUGUAAACUGCUUUUAUAAGGGAAUAAAGUGGGUCUCGUGAGACUUUUUGCAUGUACCUUAUGAAUAAGGACCGGCUAAUUCCGUG